GUUUUCGUUGUUUCGCAUCUCGGCACAGUUAAUGGCACUGGAAGAAUUCACGGGGUUUUUCUAACACGCCCGUGAUCUCUUAGUGGCAUCUAUGGUGCGGGAUAUUACGUUCAACAACUGAA
rnacentral:pre_miRNA from 15 species